CGGCACAUGUGGGUUUAUGCCCAUGUGUGUCAUAUAGUGUGACAAAAUAAGGCUCUAUAAAUAGAAUGUCAUAGCUCUACACCUCCUUAGGGUUUCGAGUUAGACAUUUGGGAAUAGAGAAGAGGCUAGCACCCAUCGUCUCUUCAAGCUUCCUUAUUCUCCUAUUCUCCUCCAUCCUUGGUGAAGAUUCUUUAGGGAGGUGCACCAUUUGUGUAUCUAUUUGGAGACAAGUGUGGAGAGCCAACAUCAAAGGGACCAAUCCCUCUACUUAAAUACCA
rnacentral:lncRNA from 1 species